ensembl:lncRNA
GUCGAUUAUGGAAUCAAUAAAAAACACAGGCUUUCACUGAAGGGGAGCCCCAAGAGCCAAUAGACGAGAAACACCCGAUCUUACGGCUCACUAGGGAAACGGAAGACAUGUCAGCUGGGAAAUGCAGUUCUCACAUAAUCGGCACACCUUGAACUCAAUGUCGAGUCUCAGCUAGAACAUGGUGAAACAAAGCCUCUCCCACUGGGCUUGUAGGAAUAUAAAUGUUUGCACUUUUAGAGGAGGAACUGGCAAUUUCUAGUAAAGCUGAGCUCUGCCUGUGUUUCAAUCCUGCCAUUCUACUUACAGAAUUAAAAUCUAUUUAAAAGACCUGAACACGUGUACAGGUGAGCAUAUUAGUAUAAUCAUUCUAGCCUUAUUUGGGAAAGCAAAAACAAAUGAAAAAAUAAAUGUUUAUCAGUAUAUACAAGGAACACCUUACUAUGGUGCUUUUAUACAGUAGAGAGAAAUUUAAUUAGUUCCAUUCAGAAUUGAUAAAUCUUAAAAUCUAACAUUGGGGUUACAAAAGGAAGGUAAAUCAUAUUAUGGUGUAAAUUUUAGAAAUACACAGAGGAAUUGUGUUUGUUAUUUAUAGAUAGUGAAUAUGUUAUAAAUCAUAAAGAGAAGGGUGUGCAUGGUUUACUCACAAGAGGACAGGUCGAUGAUGAGAUAGACAUUUUUAAUCCUUUUUGUAACACUUUAUAUAAAUUUUGUUUUUAUAUAUUCAAAAAUCUGUAUAUAAUAGAGUAUAUUAUUGUUCACAUAUACACACUUUAUAGUAAAUGUGUAUAUAUAAAAUCCCUAAGUAAAUACAGCAAAGCAAUUUUAAAAUCUGGGUAGUCCGGGAGUUGGUGAUGGACAGGGAGGCCUGGUGUGCUGUGAUUCAUGGGGUCGCAAAGAGCCGGGCAUGACUGAGCGACUGAACUGAACUGAAUUUCUUUCUCAGCUACAUUUCCUUCAGCCUUCCAUGGAUGCAAGGAUCCUGCUGAGAUGAACUUAAGUGGAACCUGAACCUCAGAGUGGAGGAGGCCUGGCAUGGUGCGGUUCAUGGGGUCACAAAGAGUCGGACACCACUGAGUGACUGAACUGAACUGAACUGAACUGAAUAUGUCUUUAUUACAGAAAUGGAAAACCUUCCUUCCCCCGUUCUCCUCCUCCUUACCCUAUGCACAAAGUGUCACCAAAGAAGAAGUUUGUUUAGAGGGUGACUAUGGUUUCUCACCUAGCCUCCCAGCAGUUCUGUAUGACCAGGGUGGCUGUCUCUGACCGUGGAACUAAGAUCUGGCCAAUGGGAUAUACUGCCAUAUAAAAUGGAUAGCACAGAUGAAGGGAAUGGCGGUGCCACAGGAAGACAAGAACUCAGGUCUUUGGAUGAACUCAUGGAGCAGAACUCUGAACACCUUCCAUCCAGUUUAGAUUUCUUCAUAAAAGAGAAAAUAAAAUUAUUGGUUUAAAUCACUCUUAUUUUUGUUUUUGUUAAGGCAGCCAUACACUGUUUUAACUAAUAAACUACUUCAUAGAUUUGUUGAGAAGGUUGAAUGAAUGAAUGCCUCUGAAGGGCUUCGACUAGAGCCCGCCAUAUACUAAAGCCCGGAGCUUCCCAGAUGGCUCAGUGGUAAAGAAUCCGCCUACCAACGCAGGGGACGAAAGAAACGUGGGUUUGAUCCCUGGGUUGGGACGAUCCCCUGGAGUAGGAAAAGGCAACCCUCUCGAGUAUUCUUGCCUGGAAAAUUCCAUGGACAGGGGAACCUGCUGGGAUACUGUCCAUGGGGUCCCAAAGAGUCGGACACAACUAAGCCCGCAUGCAGAGUAUACUAAAAGUUCGAAGCGUAUAAGAUUUACCACUCUUAAUAUAUUUCCAAACUGAAAGAAAUUUUCUCCCUCCAUAAGCCUAUAGCCCAUUUUAGAUAUUUGUAUUACAUAGUGCCAUCAUCACUCAAUUUCAUGCCUUUAAUUGGGAUUCAUUUUGAAGAAUUUGUCGGAGAGCCUACACUGCUGCUUCUAGCAUCUCCACUAGUCUCACAGACGAUUAAAAAAAACAAACUCUUGCUCUAAGUUUUACCAAGAGACUGACUAUUUUCAACCACAAUCCCUUCACAAUUGUUUCUACAACCAUAAGGAAACCACGAUCACGUCAUCCCACGGCCCAGAUCCUGUGUGGUUUUGUCCGCUAAAUGCCAAACACAUUUAUGGGUCUUCCCACUUCCCCUGUUGAUAACUUCUCCCCGUUGGUUUCCUGGGAUGUCACAUACACUUAUUUUCCCUUAUUUCCUCAAUUAGCACCUCAAGAUACUGUGCAUUUUAAAAAUUUUCUUGGAUGUGAUUUUCCUGUCUCAUCACCUCGUUAAAUGUCACUCAGUUCAUAUUUCAGCUCACACACACCCUCUUCAGAGAGCUGCGGAUGGCCUUUCAGACUGUUAGACAUCUGUUAAUUCUCUCAGAGCAACUUGGUGGCACAUUCAUCG